UAUGGGCUAAAGAUACCAAUAGUCCACACAAUUAGAUUAAUGGUGACAACACUCACCAAUCCUGUUUUUUUAAGUUUCGAGACUCACCAAUACUCUCAAACGUGCUCUAGCAAAUUUAAAGGAAAUAUAGAAAAGGAAGAUUUCAAACUAUUCAAAGUCACCAAACACAAUUUUAUUAAGGGCAUGCAGAGCCCUGUCCUCAAAAAUAAAAAUGAAAGAGAGUUCUCCCUCCCCUUCUCCCUUCUCCCUUCUCCCUUCUCUUUUACCGGCACUAUGGUCUCCGACCAUCACCGCUCAACCCAUCUGCCGUAGGAACCAACGAUCUACAAACUAUACGCGCGCGUUACUCGAUCAGCUAUGAUCUGAUCAACAGUUCUGGAUGUUGUCAUCGAUUGGACUUGAAGAAGUGAUGGGUUUUCUUGAACAGUCGUUUCCUGAUGUUGAAAUAGCUAUUGAACUUGGGAAGCAAUAUUGAAAGAAGCUAGAGGAAACAAUGGAGAAAUUCUCACAAGGAAUAACAAUGUUGAGAAUUCUAUUGAUAGCUACCGCAAAGCCUUUGACAUUGUUGACCUGGCUGUGUUUGGUUGAUGAGAAAAUGCUGGCAAAGAAUUAGACUUCAAACAUCAAGUGUUGUACUUCUGUUAGUUGACUCAGCAAAGAACUUAUUAUAUGCUGAUUGGAAUUUUCUAUACCUGAUGCAGAUGGUAUAUAAUGGUACAUGUUGUUGGCUCUCUUUUCCAAUAUAUCCGGCUAGGAAUCGGCCUGUCUACAAGGCAAAUGGUGGCAGCAUACUUUGUCACAUUGACAGAUUACUUGCUUGACAGUUUCUUCUGGAGAUCAGACAUGUAUAAGUCAUCCAUGAAGGAGAAGAGGAAAUUGCAGUAUCAUGCCUAGAAUUAAGGCUGCCAAGAAUUUUUCUUUGGUUUGAUAGGAAUCAUUGAAUUUGUAUAUUAAUUUUAAUUUUUUUUAAUGUGAAAUAUUGCAGUCACCAUUGUUAGAAAGUGUGUUUUCUGAUGAUGGGGCCCACAGUUUGAAAGUCACCAAAAAAUUGAUAGUGUCAUUUUGAGUAUAUGUCACGCCAGCAAAGGCAACCAUUCUUUAA